CCUACGGGUGGCUGCAGUCGAGAAUUUUUCACAAUGGGGGAAACCCUGAUGGAGCGACGCCGCGUGGGGGAUGAAGGGCUUCGGCUCGUAAACCCCUGUCAUUCGCGAAUAAUUGCCGCGUUCUAACACAACUCGGUUUGAUAGUAGCGGAAGAGGAAGGGACGGCUAACUCUGUGCCAGCAGCCGCGGUAAUACAGAGGUCCCAAGCGUUGUUCGGAUUUACUGGGCGUAAAGGGUGCGUAGGCGGCACGGAAAGUUCGGGGUGAAAUCUCCAG
rnacentral:rRNA from 1 species